rnacentral:lncRNA from 1 species
GAUCUGAAAGCUCAGGGUCGUAUCUUUAGCAGGAGUGGCAAUUAUCUGAGUAUUCUGUCCGGCCGCACGGAAGCCCAAGGCAGAGGGAUCUGUUGCCGUAGAAUGCCUGCUGCUGGCUUUCUACUACCAUGUGUUGUAUUAAGAGAUUUUCUUACCCUCCAUGGGUCUCUGGCCAGAGCUCAGAACGUGCAAAGUGCAGCUGACUUACCUGCCUUCCUAAGUGUGGUGAGAGCUGCCUUCCUUCCCGCAGUCUCGGAUCUACCUAGACCCGUUUGUAGGUUCACCUGGGAUGCUGAUCGCUCAGCCGAGUCUAACAACGUAAAUCAUAUAAAGAAAGGCUGCUGUGAACUUUUCAAGGGUGGACAUUAA